rnacentral:lncRNA from 1 species
UUUUUUUUUUUUUCUUAUUUCUCUGAUGUUCACCAGUAACAAAGUAUGGCAAUUUAUCAAGAAAAAAAAAUAGAUGGGAAAAUUGAUACAGAAAUGGUUCUACACCAUAGUGUGAGAAAAGUUCCUUUUUCCCCCUCUAGGCCUCAGGUUCCUUAUUGGUAAAAUGAACUCAACCCUAAAAUCAUUUCUACUUUCAACAUUCUGAGCCAAAAUCUAGAAUUAUUGGGUAUUUCAAAUUAGAUAAAAAUAGUUUAAUAGAAAAUAUCAUAAAGAUAUAAUGAACUAAUCAUUUUGGUGUAGCUCUAAUAAGUAAAAAAAAUUCAUUUGCAAUAUGAACUUAUAAGUUAGUGGCUUGCUUUAUUUAGUAACUCUUUAGUGGCUCUAAUUCUCAAAAUGCCAGAAAUUUCAAGGAUUCAAAGCUAUUUUUUAUACUUAAAUGCCCUAAAAUUGUAUCCCAAUCAGAUUAAAAGCCAAGAAAUUAUUACUACAUAAUAAACUAUUAUCGAUUUAUUUUAAAUAUUUAAAAAAUGCAUUAUACUAAGUACUUAAAAUAGUUAUUUUUUGCAUUGUUUUAAUUGUGUAUGUAACAUUUUGCACAUUGACAGAGGUUUGGCUUUUCAUAUUUCCAAUAAGUUUUCAUAGUUAGUUUUGGUUUCUAUGUUGUACUUAUUUCAUAAUUUCCUAUGGUGGAAAAGGUCCCAAGUCUUCAUUGAGAUCUUGACUUUUCCCUUUGAUUUCUUUUGUUUAUGAGAAAAAGAACUACUUCUGGAAAUGCGGUAUUUCAUAUUUCAGUAAUCAAUCAAAAGCAAUAAAUACUGCACAACCAGCAUCUUAAGAAUGCACUUAGGUAUCUUAUUGAUCCCCAGAACAUUAAACCUCUUACCAGAGUUAUGACUCUCUUCUGCUCUUAGAUGUAUAUGCUGUUCCCAGUGAUUUGAUUUUAUGGAGAACUGUGUUCAUACAGGCAAGGGUAAAAGUAUACCUAAAGAUGAACUCUUUAAGUGCAUUUUAGGAAUUUUUUUAUUACCUUCAUGAGACAUAACAUGUAUACUAUAUAUCUUACUUUAGGAACCUUACCACCUAAAAAAAAUGAACUUGUAAUUCAAUAUACACGUUUGCUUCUACUACUUUCUUUGAAGUAGCCAAAUUCGGUUAAUAUGAACUAUCUGAAAGCAAAAUAAAGUACAAUAGCCUAUACGGAUCCUGCAGAGCUAUUUCAAAUAUUAUGUAUUAAAUUUAUGUUAUUUAGAUUUUAUACAAGUUUACACAUAGUAUUCCACUGGAAAUAUAAAUGUAAGUAAAGCAUACUCGGUGAAUUGCAUUUGAAAUCUCUCAAUAUUCAGGAGGGAAAAAGGGAGUUACAAUAAGUUCUAUUCUAACACUUGUUCUGAGAACAUGAAUUUGUUUCAGUGCAAUUGUAAUGUUAGGGAACAAUAUAAGCAUAACACAAAUUAUUUGCUGCAUUUGUGCAAUUUUUUCCAUGAGAACUACUGGGUCAACUCAGAAAACUGCAUCUCACUGAAUGGAACAAUGCAGAAGCAUAUAAAACAUAUGCACACACCUCAAUAAUAUACCAGCUGCAUUAGUUCACCACCAUUCACAUCUCGUAUUAUACCUUUACUUCUGAUUUCAGCUAGCUCAUCCUCUAUCAUUUCACAAUAACUAACAAAUACAAACCCUUCCUACACCCAUGUCCACAAGCAAAUGUCAGGUCUUUUACAAGGAAAAGUAUCUUAUUUAUAUAUGUAUUAACUAUCUAACAUGUAUAAAAUUGUGGUAUCAUUUUUAUUACAUCCCUGUGUAUUUUAUGUGACAAUAACAGAGUGUUUUUAGUGCUUUUCCUUUAUCUUCAUUUUCUCUAAGCCCUAUGGCUUUUUAUUCCACUAUUUUGCACAAUGCAAUGAUUUUUAGAAACACAUGUUGUAUAAUAGCAAAAUUGAGUGUACUAUAAAACUAUAGAAAAAUAACUUGAUAGCAUAUAGUGACCUGAUAAAGAAAAUUAUAAUUUCAAAAAAAAUAUUAAUUAUUAUAUGUAUGUGGCAUAAGUUUAUGUAUAGAAAUCCACUGAUACUCUGGGUUUUAGGAAAGCAUAAUUAUGAAAUGAGUGAUCAGCUGAAAAUGAAUUAUAGUAACAUUUCAGUCCAUCUAAUGUAGUAACAUUUUUUUACAUUCAUAUUAAGAAACAACAAAUGGAAACAUUCCAUGAAUUGGUUUCGUUAAAAAUUAAUUUUAUUGUUGUAAGAAUACUUAACAUCUACACUCUUAAAUAAUUUUUAGCAUACAUUACUAUUGACGAGAGAUACAAUGUUAAAAAUAAAUUUCUGGAUCUUAUUUAUUGUGACCCAGGGAUCUCGACCUGAGCCAAAGGAAGAUGCUCAACCACGAGCCACCCAGGUUCCCCUGAUUCUGCUUCUUUCUCUGGAGAACUUUCUACCUUCAGAAUAGAACUCAGAUUUUUUUUUCACACUUGCUAAUGCAUACAUGUUGCCUCCUACUUGGACAUCUACCAUGUCUGUUUCUGAAAGCAGUGUCCUCACCGAGAAGUGGCACUGCCCUCACUUUACUCUGUUAAAGAAGACUUUUGCUACAGUGAAUCUGAAUGGAGCUGUUCUAAUACAUGGCCACUGAUGCUCUAGCUUCAGAGGAGGCUGCAAGGUAAUUUGCUUCAACCUUGAGGGGAUGGGAUUCAUGUGUGAAGUUCCUCAAUUCAGGAGGUUUGAUUAAGGAGUGAUGGACAGCUACUAUUGUGACAAAUCACUGCAAAAAGACAAAUUAAAAAUGUACAGUACUAGUAAGGAAUAUCACAGGAUUCUAAAAUCUGGGUUUGUAAUACAUUGCAUUCUAAAAACACAGUUCCUCAUAUAAAAUACUGUUAACAGAGACAGAAAGAUACCUGGGAAGAGCACAUCCUGGGAUGCAUAGUGUUUAUAUGUAACAACCAGUUAAAGCAGAGCUAUUACUCCAAUAGUCUUACCCACUCAGUGAUUUAAAGUGUGAUCUACAGAGAUGUGGCAUCAUCGUCACCUAGGAGAUUGUUAGAAAUGUGGAAUUCUAACCUAGUCAGAUGUACAGAUAAGAGCCUGAAUGAAUGAAUGAAUGAAUGAAUGAAUGAGAGCCUGAAUUAAAAAGCUAAUUAGGUGACUGAUUGAGCUUUGGGGCAGUACUGCUCCAUUAGAUACUGUUGUCAAGUAGCAGAACACUUUCACCAAAUCUUACAUGUAAAUCAAAUACGUCAACCAGAGAUGUUCUACAUCUAUAUAGUCUAAAUGAGGCCAUACUAAUCAAGACCUCUGCUUGUUCCUUGGGGUGGGCCAGAGCAUCUUUAACAACUCCUACAGAUUCACAGUGCACAGUGUAAAAAAACACUUUUCUAGUGUUAGACCUUUCAGGGUAAGUCUACCUUAGGUCCACAAAAUCAUGGUAAUAAACCUCUGAGACCCUAGUUGAUCUAGAAGAUGUGUACAUCCACCUACAUUUCAGCUUUCAAUUAAAGACAGGAUAAUAUCAACUCACUGUUGGACAGCAAGUGCCACCAAGGGCAUUCCUAAGAUCACGGAACAAUAUGUCUGGAUAUUUUCCACUGUUUCAUAGGAAAGGAUGGAUAGAGAAAAGACAGUCUAGUGUCCAUGAAAAAGUCUUGAAGGCUUAGGAAACUAAUACAUUUUAGAUAUUCAAAAAUAAAACUUGUAAGAAGAUCAAACUUUUUAAAUGAUACCUAAACCUGGGUUCCAUGAAUAAAUUUUAAAAUGGUAUUUAGGGAUCCCUGGGUGGCGCAGCGGUUUGGCGCCUGCCUUUGGCCCAGGGCGCGAUCCUGGAGACCCGGGAUCGAAUCCCACAUCGGGCUCCCGGUGCAUGGAGCCUGCUUCUCCCUCUGCCUGUGUCUCUGCCUCUCUCUCUCUCUCUGUGACUGUCAUGAAUAAAUAAAUAAAAUCUUUAAAAAAAAAAAAAAAAAAAAAAA